rnacentral:rRNA from 1 species
GACGAACGCUGGCGGCGUGCUUAACACAUGCAAGUCGAACGGACAGUCCCUGCUUUUGUGGGGUGCUCGAGUGGCGAACGGGUGAGUAACACGUGAGUAACCUGCCCUUUACUUUGGGAUAACUUCAGGACACUGGGGCUAAUACCGGGUAGGAGCUCCUGCUGCAUGGUGGGGGUUGGAAAGUUUCGGCGGUUGGGGAUGGACUCGCGGUCGAUCAGGUUGGUGGUGGGGUAGUGGCAUACCAUGGAUUUGCCGGCUAGCCGGGCGGAGAGGGUGACCGGUCACGAUGGGAAUGCGGCACGGACCAGAACCGUACGCGAGGGAGGAGAGGGGAGCACUAGAGACUGGGGGCUACCCUAAUAUAGCCGCGUCGGGUGAGAGAGGAAGGCGUUAGGGUUGUAAAGCUCUGUCAGCUGGGAAGAUAAUGACGGUAACAGCAGAAGAAGCACCGGCUAACUCCGUG